rnacentral:rRNA from 1 species
GAACUGAAGAGUUUGAUCAUGGCUCAGAUUGAACGCUGGUGGCAUGCUUAAUACAUGCAAGUCGAACGGUAACAGAUUCUUCGGAAUGCUGACGAGUGGCGGACGGGUGAGUAAUACAUAGGAAUCUGCCCAUGUAGUGGGGGAUAACUUGAGGAAACUCAAGCUAAUACCGCAUAAGUCCUACGGGGGAAAGUUGGGGAUCUUCGGACCUGACGCUAUUGGAUGAGCCUGCGUUAGAUUAGCUUGUUGGUGGGGUAAUGGCCUACCAAGGCGACGAUCUAUAGCUGGUCUGAGAGGACGAUCAGCCACACUGGGACUGAGACACGGCCCAGAC